rfam:Trichosporon asahii var. asahii CBS 8904 unplaced genomic scaffold scaffold00105, whole genome shotgun sequence.
GGCGCUAUCGAAUAAUAGGUUAAUUCUCCAGAUCUUCAUCCUGGAAACACCGGUUCGAUCCCGGUUAGUGCUA